rnacentral:lncRNA from 1 species
AAGAGACAGCGCCGCCGGCCGUGGGGAGCGGACGCAGCGAUUUGCUCCCCUUCGCGCAGCAACCCCCACACCCAGCACCAGGAGCCUGUUCCUCUCACACCCUCACCUGGCUGAGCCGCAGUAGUUCUUCAGUGGCAAGCUUUAUGUCCUGACCCAGCUAAAGCUGCCAGUUGAAGAACUGUUGCCCUCUGCCCCUGGCUUCGAGGAGGAGGAGGAGCUGCUUUCCCCAUCAUCUGGAAGCGGCUACAGGAAGCUGUGUCUGUUCGAUUUGGUGGGAGGAGAUGUGCAGGGAGCUGUAUCUUAUCCUCCGCUUGUGAAAAACUCAAGGAUGUGGAGAAGAGUAGACCGUGGAACCCUGCCCUUCUGCAACCAAGCUGAGGGGCAGGAUGCGUAUGGGACAGUGGUAGAGAAGCAGGGGAUAGACGCAUAGGCUGCAACAAAGGUCACUCUGUCCCUGGACACUGC